rnacentral:rRNA from 1 species
UACGAAGGGGGCUAGCGUUGUUCGGAAUUACUGGGCGUAAAGCGUGCGCAGGCGGCUUCUCAAGUCAGGGGUGAAAGCCCAGAGCUCAACUCUGGAAUUGCCUUUGAGACUGAGGGGCUUGAGUACGGAAGAGGCGAGUGGAAUUCCUGGUGUAGCGGUGGAAUGCGCAGAUAUCAGGAGGAACACCAAUAGCGAAGGCAGCUCGCUGGGACGUUACUGACGCUGAGGCGCGAAAGCGUGGGGAGCGAACAGG